rnacentral:rRNA from 1 species
AUGUACUCAUCGCAGUCGCUGAGCCGCGUCAACAACAUCCGCACUUCCAUCAUCAACGCCCAGAAGGGCAACCAGUCCGUCGCCUCCUACUUCGCCUCAAUGUGCGGCCUUGCGGAUGAACUCGCCGCGGUCGGCAAGCCGAUCCAGGAUGAUGAACUCAUCUCCUAUAUCCUUCAUGGGCUGGAUCAGGAUUAUCAGCCCCUGGUCUCGACCCUCGAUGCUCGUGUCAUUCAUGCCUCCCUCGACGAGAUCUUCUCCAUGCUCAGCAACAUUGACCAAUGCAUGGCUCAGUUCCAUGGCUCCGGCGGUGACGACGGCUUCAAGUCGUCCGCAAACGCUGCCUCUCGGGGUUGUGGUGGUGGUUCUCGCUACCGUGGCUCUUCCCACGGCAAAGGACGGUCCUCAAGUGGAGGGCACGGUGGUGGCGAAGGAGGGCGCUCGGGCACCAGGGGUCGUCGUGGCGGCGGCUCUGGUCGCGCUCGUGCGGAUAGUCCUUGCUGCCAGAUCUAUGGCAAGCCAGGGCACACAACAAAAGAUUGCUGGUACUGCUACGAUGAAGAUGACGACGACUCCCAGGACGAGGACAAGGUCGCCAACGCUGCUGAUGGCUCCUUUGGAAUCGACACCAACUGGUACAUCGAUAGCGGGCCACAAACCACAUCACCAGUGAGCUUGAGAAGGUGA